rnacentral:piRNA from 1 species
UAUUGUCUGGUUGAAGUGUCCUUA